UCCUAGCGAGACUGCCAGUGAUAAACUGGAGGAAGGUGGGGAUGACGUCAAAUCAUCAUGCCCCUUAUGACCUGGGCUACAAACGUCAUACAAUGGCUGAAACAAAGAGAAGCGAAGCAGUGAUGUGGAGCAAAACUCAUAAAAGCAGUCUCAGUUCAGAUUGUAGUCUGCAACUCGACUACAUGAAGUCGGAAUCGCUAGUAAUCGCAGAUCAGCAUGCUCGCGGUCGAAUACGUUCCCGGGCCUU
rnacentral:rRNA from 1 species